rnacentral:lncRNA from 1 species
CUUGGGGAGAGCAACAAGCCUCACCCAGGCUUAGCCAUCCCCUUUCUGCCUGCAGAGGAACGCCCCGGUCGACAUAGAAGGAAAAUUGUUUGCUGAAUUUCAGCACAGCCCUCCUUCCAAUUGCUGGAGAGAGAGGGGGGAGUAAGAAAGAGAGAGAGAGAGAGUUUAAGGCAGGCUCUGCACUGGUGUUCUGGGCUAUUUCAACUUCAGGGCAACUUUAGAGAACUUCAGUUAUUUUUGGUUCUGGACGACAGCUGAGACCAGCAGAGCCUCCGGGAGAUGCUGAUGCUGAUGCAGAAGAUGAAGAUUCUGUGAGUUUUUUAGUUUUUUUUAAUCUCAAAACCUAGCAAACUAUGUCCACUGACUGCAAUCCCAUUUCUUUAAAGCAUUAUCUGGCUUAGGUGCCCCGUAGCCUGACUCCACGAGGAAGUACACUGAGAGUUUGUCAGCCGAGAUCCUUCUGGUACUCUUAUAUGGUUUGCUUGUUUAUAGAAGGCUAUAAUGUUUGAAGUUCCAUGAUGCAAAGUUUAACCAUGCAAAUGAAGCAAGGGAUGGCAUAA